rnacentral:rRNA from 1 species
AGCUAAUAGAUACCCGGGUAGUCCACGCCGUAAACGAUGAUGACUAGCUGUCGGGGCGCUUAGCGUUCCGGUGGCGCAGCUAACGCGUUAAGUCAUCCGCCUGGGGAGUACGGCCGCAAGGUUAAAACUCAAAGAAAUUGACGGGGGCGUGCACAAGCGGUGGAGCAUGUGGUUUAAUUCGAAGCAACGCGCAGAACCUUACCAGCGUUUGACAUGGUAGGACGGUUUCCAGAGAUGGAUUCCUUCCCUUACGGGUACGUACACACAGGUGCUGCAUGGCUGUCGUCAGCUCGUGUCGUGAGACU